rnacentral:rRNA from 1 species
UACAGAGGUCCCGAGCGUUGUUCGGAUUCACUGGGCGUAAAGGGUGCGUAGGUGGCAUGUUAAGUUUGAUGUGAAAGCUCAGGGCUCAACCCUGAAAUGGCAUUGAAUACUAGCGUGCUGGAGGUUUGGAGGGGGGACUGGAAUUCUCGGUGUAGCAGUGAAAUGCGUAGAUAUCGAGAGGAACACCAGUGGCGAAGGCGAGUCCCUGGACAACACCUGACACUGAGGCACGAAAGCUAGGGGAGCAAACAGGAUUAGAUACCC